rnacentral:misc_RNA from 1 species
GAUGAAGAACGUAGCGAAAUGCGAUAAGUAAUGUGAAUUGCAGAAUUCAGUGAAUCAUCGAAUCUUUGAACGCACAUUGCGCCCGCCAGUAUUCUGGCGGGCAUGCCUGUCUGAGCGUCAUUUCAACCCUCAUGCCCCUAGGGCGUGGUGUUGGGGAUCGGCCAAAGCCCGCGAGGGACGGCCGGCCCCUAAAUCUAGUGGCGGACCCGUCGUGGCCUCCUCUGCGAAGUAGUGAUAUUCCGCAUCGGAGAGCGACGAGCCCCUGCCGUUAAACCCCCAACUUUCCAAGGUUGACCUCAGAUCAGGUAGGCAUACCCGCUGAACUUAAGCAUAUCAAUAAGCGGAGGA